CGGAGGAUCCGAGCGUUAUCCGGAUUAUUGGGUUUAAAGGGAGCGUAGGUGGACUGGUAAGUCAGUUGUGAAAGUUUGCGGCUCAACCGUAAAUUGCAGUUGAUACUGUCAGUCUUGAGUACAGUAGAGGUGGGCGGAAUUCGUGGUGUAGCGGUGAAAUGCUUAGAUAUCACGAAGAACUCCGAUUGCGAAGGCAGCUCACUGGACUGCAACUGACACUGAUGCUCGAAAGUGUGGGUAUCAAACAGGAUU
rnacentral:rRNA from 1 species